AAAAUAAAUGAACAUAGACGUAAAUUUAAUAUGACUGAGAUGAUAAUGUUAAGAUAAAUGAGCUGUCAAACUUUAUUAAAAAAUAUAUAACGCAUGUAAUUUAAAUAUAUAGGUAGAAAAUCGAUAUAAAAGAUUUCGUUAAGGGAUAAAUUAAAUAGAAUUUAAUUGUGUCAUUUAAUUCAUAUAGUCCACCUCAUUUAAUAAGUUGUUUGUAAAUAAUUU
rnacentral:lncRNA from 1 species